rnacentral:lncRNA from 1 species
AGACGAUGAUGAGGGCCUCUUCUGUUUGGUAAAGGGAUAUGCUGAGAUGGGACCAACCAUAUAUUGCGGCAAAAGAAAGAAGAGGACAUUAGAACAAUAACAACAGGAGACGGAUAAAGAUACCUGGAAUGCAUUGAGGAGUGUAAACAACACAUGGACGCCUAAUGCACUUGACAGCAUGGUUCCAAUUCCAAAUCCCCAUGUUAGACCAAAAAGAGGAGUCAAAAAGGCCACACAUCGGACAACGACAAAAAAGAUGGAAUUUGGACCACAGACAGAAGGGCUUGGCUGACACUCAUUUAUAUCUGAAUAGGAAAGAUUCUUCAGUUGUCGAGGAUAUUUUGCAUAUUUGAAUGCAGUAACUAUGAUUUCAAGAUCCAUCUUAAAAACCUUUUUAC